AUCAGUAUCCAUAUCUCAGAAAAUUCAAGGGUGAUAGAAAUUGAAUAAAAAAAGAAAAAGAAAAAUUGAAGUAUCGCUUUGCAAACUGAUCUGAUCAUUUCCAUGGCCGGGUCUUGCAAUUUCGAAUUGGAUCGAGCUAAUUUGAGAUAAGAAAUUCAUUUAUCGUGCCCGGAAUUAAAUUCCAAUAAUCCAUCCCUCUUCUUCCUUCUUCUUUGUUUGUUCAUCAGUUGUUCCCUGUCGCAAUUAUAGAGAAG
rnacentral:misc_RNA from 1 species